rnacentral:rRNA from 1 species
UACGUAGGGGGCAAGCGUUGUCCGGAUUUAUUGGGCGUAAAGAGCGUGUAGGCGGCCUGAAAGGUCAGCUGUGAAAACUCGAGGCUCAACCUCGAGACGUCGGUUGAAACCAUCUGGCUAGAGUCCGGAAGAGGAGUGUGGAAUUCCUGGUGUAGCGGUGAAAUGCGCAGAUAUCAGGAAGAACACCCGUGGCGAAGGCGGCUCUCUGGGACGGUACUGACGCUGAGACGCGAAAGCGUGGGGAGCGAACAGG